AAACAACUGGGGGAGACAGAGAGCACAUUAGACUGCAGUGGUUUCAGGAACCAUAGACGCACGAGGGCAAGCAAGGUUAAUAAUAAAAGUUGCUUCCCAAGGCUCUACUUACACUGCCUUUGAAACUCUUUGUCGCUUCAUCCUCUGAAUAUCCAAUGACAUCCUGUGUCACCGGUUACUGGAGAAGUUAACAUUUCUAGAUGGAAACGAGAUGGGAGAAACGUAAGGCUUGGAAUAACACUAAUGGCUAGGCAACGAUAACUGCACUGACAUAACGUACUCACUUAACCAUAGAAUUGAGAGUACAUGCAUGCAGAAGUCAAUGCACAGUUCCUGGAGGUGUAAACAGUGGAGUAAAAGUCCUACACUUCUGCUAAUACUGGACAUUUACAAUAUCAAUGUGAUGACACUUAUGUAUUUUUUGAUUAUUCCCCCCCAGUAGCUUCGGUGCAAUUUUCACAAGUUUGUGAUCACAACUUAGUACAAACCUCAACUGAUCAAAACGGCAGUUUUCAAAUCUCUAAGCACAUUUUCAAUUGACUUAAGUACAACACACAAUUAUAGGUCAAUAUUUUACCAAACACUGUUUCAGCUAGAAAUACAUGUUUAUAUAAAGCAAUUGCCUUUCACAAUGUCCACACUACUUUUAAUAUGAUUCUCUUUUGUUAAAAUACAUUUCACUCUUACUUAAUAAGACUGCUCUUAAUUGAUAAUCACUUAACCGUUUGGUAAACCUACAGAUUUGUCUACUACAGAUUGAGAACUACAUAAUGAAAAGAUAUGUUUGUGAAGAAGAAACUUAGUGUACAAAACAUUAGGAACACCCUACCAAUAUUGAGUUGCACCCCUUAUUGCCCUCAGACCAGCUUCAGUUUGUCAGGGCAUGGACUACAAGGUGUCAAAAGCAUUCAUGAUACACAUGGAAAACUGUUCAGUAUGAAAAACCCAGCAGCGUUGCAGUUCUUGACACAAGACCACCUGGCACCUACUACCAUACCCUGUUCAAAAGCACCUACACAUUUUCUGAAUGGCACACAUACACAAUCCAUGGCUCAAUUGUCUCAAGGCUAAAAAAUGCUUCUUUAACCUGCCUUCUCCCCUUCAUCUACACUGAUUGAAUUGACAUCAAAAGUGGAUUAAAGCUUCACCUGGUAUGACGAUCAUGAAAAUAGGUGUUUGUAACGUUUUGUACACAUUAGGAACACGUCCCCAUGAGUGUGCCACCAUCCUUCAGGCCAUGGAUGAGGUAUGCAAUGACAUUAAUCCAGACCUACAUAAUGUCAGGCUUGGAUUCACCAUAUCAAAAGGUUUAUCCCCAGGUGCUUGAACAAUGAGGACAGUUACUGUGACGUCAAUAAGAACCUAAAGUAUGACCAAUGGGGACAUUUACUGUAAUGUUAAUGAAUACCUAAAGUAUGCCCAAUGAGGAUAUUCACUGUGAUGUCAAUGAAAACCUAAAGUAUGACCAAAAUUCUCAAGACAGGCUUGAUGCAAACUAGUGGUCUGCUAAACAUUGUUUCUUCCAUGUGAUUACAGUAGUACUUUUCGGGUAUUUUAUUCGGAUCCUCAUUAGCUACUACUAAAGCAGCAGCUACUCUUCCUGGGGUCCACACAAAAGACACAGAACAUUAAUAGACAAGUGCAUCACAAGGACAGAAUUACAUACACUUUCAUAAUCAUGUGCAAACCACAAAAACAAAAAUACAAUAAUAAGGUGCGUUGCAAAUAGGCUGAUACUUUUGCUAAAUUUCCCUGACGUGAAUAAAGCUACCUUGUUUCUAUAGCACCUCUUGUAAUGGGUAUCCUGGGGUAAAGUAUAGACUUUUUACAGUUACCACCCGCAAUGGGUUUCUUACGGUAACAUGUAAUCUCUUAAACUUGUAGGCCUUUUGUUAGUUACCAUUAGGUAAAAGGAAACAUUCCAAGACAGUUACACUUACGUCCGUUCAUACAGGGCUCCACCUAUUGUCCUUCACCCCAGAAAAUAAAAUGAACUAAACAGACAUACAGGCUUCACUUCGCUUCCGUCACCCCUGCUCAGAAUGAGCUUCAUUCCUUGAGGCUUGUUACAGUCUACCACCCAUGAAGGGUUAUCUGAGGUACAGUGUUACAGUCUACUGCCCAUGAAGUGUUAUCUGAGGUAUUGUGCAAGGCCUUGGACCUGCUCAUGAAAUGAACGAGAUCCCUGUGAAUCAGAUGGAGCCGCCAGGCUCCUGCUCAUAUAAACUGAACCAGAUGGGAGUUUCACCUAAGGUCCUUGGCUCCCGCUGAGGCUUUCACCUCAGCCACCGUGCCCUGGGGACAAAAAUGUAAUCAAAACAACACAUCAGGCUAUUUUAACAAGUUAUAAUAGUUCAUUAAAGCAAUUGCACACUUAAGUUUUAAACUGCCCUAUCGAUCCCAGGCUCUCACACAACCGGAUCGUGAACAGAAUUGAAAUUUGGAGAAAAAUUUGGUAAAAUACACACAAAAAAUAAGUUUGUGGAGACAAAUGGGACCUCAAAGAAUUAACCAACCAAGGUCCUGCCGACCUUCUGAUACAGGAUGCAGUGAUGAGUAUUAAAAAAACCCUCACCUGUAAUAAAGCGAAGGGCGCUAUGGUAGACGGCAUUCGAUGGUUUAAGAGUAGUGGCUGCUGCAUUCUGGUAAAUGGUGUCACCGUAGUCAAGAACUGGCAGAGACUGUACAAUAUGCUUCCUGCCAUUCAUGGAGAGGCACAAUCUAUUUCUAAAAAGAAGCCCCUUUAAAUCUUAGCUCUUUGCGUAGCGCAUCUGUAUGUUUUUUGAAAUUUAUUUUUAAACGUUAAGAUAUUUAUCAAUCCAGACGCUCAGAUAUUUAUCAAUCCAGACGCUCAGAUAUUUAUAGGCGGGAACCCACUUGAUGAUACGAGCCAUCCAAAGUGUGAAUAUGUAGACCAUCAGACAUGUAUCAGUGAAUUAGAGAACAGAUUUCGUUUGGCCCGCAUUAAGUCCAAGUUUUAAAUCAACAAGGGUUUUCUGUAAUGCAACCAAAUCAGAAUGCAGCUCUAUCAUAGCUUGAUACAAGUCAGUGCAAUGGCAUA
ensembl:lncRNA